ensembl:lncRNA
AUGAAAUUCUCUAUCUCAUCACAUCUCCUCUCUGUGUGUCUGUCUGUCUUUGUUUCUCUGUCUUUGUCUCUGUCUCUCUGUCUCUCUCUGGCUUUCUCUGUCUCUCUCCCUCAUCAUCUGUCUCUCUAUAUCAAGGUCUCUUUCUGUCUCUGUCCCUCCUCUCUCUUUGUCUCUAUCUCUCUUCCUCUCUGUCCCCAUUUUCUUUCUUUCUCUGCCUCUCUUUUCUCUUUCCUCUUGUCUUCCUUUAAUGAUCUUAUCCUCCAAAAAGUUGAGAAACCAUCAAAGGAAACUGAUUCCCAUCAAAGAAUAACUGGUCAAGCUAUUUGGGGAAGAAGAAGAAGAAGAAGAGCAUCAAAUAAGGAAUAAGAGCACUGCUUAUCAUUGAUGAGAGGAUUUUAAGCAAUGACAGAGGAGGGACUGCUACAGUUUGUUUUUCUUUUGUUUUCUAGCUUGAUAUCAAGAAUUUACAUGGUGCCUUGUAAGGCUGGCAAACUGUUUUAAAAAUACUGUUUCAUUUUAUCUUCACAACGACCUUGGGAGGGAGAUACUAUUAUUAUCUCCAUUUUAUAGAUGAAGAAACUGAGGUAUAAAGAAGUUAAAAUAUUUUCCCAGGGUCAUAUUGCCAGCAUAUGUAUGUCACGAUUUAAACUCAAGUCUUCUUGAAUACAAGUUUAUCGUUCUCUUUACAGGGCCAUUUUGCUGCCUCUGUCAAAUAGGGACUAGAAAGGAACAAACAUGAAUGACUAAUGUGCAGUUAAAAUAUAAAAUGCAUCAGGAAAGAGUAAGAGAGUACCUAGCUGACUUUGAUAAGCUUGUCACUAACCCCAGAUCAACUAUUUUAAGGAGACUAAAAGAACUAGUAUAUGUCAUUACUGAAUCACUGUCAAAUUUUUUUAAUGUCCUUGAUCAAUGAAGGAGGCAAAGAAAGACUAUAGAAAGGGAAAUGUCCCAAGUGUCUAGAAAGGGAAGCAAAUAAGCUACUAUGAUCUAUUGAGUUUGGCUUUGAUUUUUGAUAAAAUUCUAAAAUGUACUAUUAAAGGAACAAUUAAUGAACAUCUAGUAAAGGAAUCACUGAUCACAGAGAUAUACUUGAGUCUGAAUGACCACUGGAUCAUUUUGCUCCCAAUUAGUUGUGAAUCUAUUUUUUUUACAUUUUAAACUGUUUUCCCAUCCAUCAUUUUGCAUGAUCCUCAUAACUACCUUAUAUAGUAUUUAGAGCAUAGUAUUACACUUUCUAGAAACAAAGUUUUCCCACAGUCAUUUGGUUAGUCAGUAGCAGAACCUGGACUAGAUUCUAGGAUUCAAACCAAAGAAAGAGAAUGGGUUCACAGGUUUAGAGCUGAAAAGUCUCUUAGCACCUAUUGAAUCUAGGACCUUCAUUUAAAAAAAAUAUUAUCAUGCAAAAUACACUUCCAUAUUGGUCAUUGUUGUAAGAGCACACUCAUAAAAAACAAAUCCCCCAAAUCAAACCAUAAAUACACUGAUGUUAAAGAUAGUAUGCUUUGGUUCACAUCUGACUCCAAGGGUUCUUUCUCUGGAGGUAGAUAACAUUCCCCAUCAUAAGUUUUUUCUGGAUUAUCUCAGGUCAUUACAUUGCUGAGAGCAGUCAAGUGUUCACAGUUGAUCAUUGUGCUGUUGAUCAUUAUUGUUACUGUGUACAAUGUUCUCCCAGUUCUAUUUAUUUCACUAUGCAUCAGUUCAUGCAGAUCUUUCCAGCUUUUUCUGAAAUCACCUUGCUUAUUUCUUUUAGUACAAUAGCCUUCCAUCACAAAUGUGUACCAACUGGCUUGAUGAUUUAUUUAAGCCUGACAGAAAAUGACUAAUUCUCUUCAACUAAACACAAGACAUUUCCUGUUUGGCCUAAUUUGACAUGUACCUAGCUCCUAAUGUUUAUUUGGUAAUUCAGUCAAAGAGAUGUUUUUAUCUGACAAAAGAAUUAACAUAUAGAGCACCUUAUUAGUUACAGUAUUCAGACUUGAAGAGCAUGGGAUAAACUUCCUACACAGAUAAGAAAACAGAGACCCUGAAAUGGUAAAGUUACUUACUCAAGGUUACCUAGAUAGUAAUUACAAGAGUCAAGAUUAACCCCAUAUUUUCUGUUUUUAAAUUUGAUGAUCUUCCCUAUUGACAAUAUUGAAAAAUUAGCAAAAUUUGUUUUCUGUGCUCCAGUCUGCUAGUUCUUCUUUCUAGGGGCAUUUCUUCUACCUACUUAGGUACACAAUGUUAUCAAAACCCGCCCAGUUGUUACUAUUCUGUUAGUUUGUUUUUUCUUUCUUCAUAUUCAUAUUUAUUUAUCUGAGUUCAUGACGUUUCCAUACACAUACUAGUAGAAUUCAGUCCAAUUCAACAAGCAUUCAUUAAUUACCUACUACAGGGGCAGCUAGAUGGCUCAGUGGAUAAAGAACCUGGAGAUGGGAGGUCCUAGGUUCAAAUUGGUCUCAAGUACCCUGGGCAAGUCUUUUAACCCCAAUUAUCUAUCCCUUACCACUCCUCUACCUUGGAAUCAAUAUUUAGUAUGAAUUCUAAAACAGAAGUUAUUUUUUGUUGUUGUUUUUAAAACGCCUAUUGCAUGUCAGGCACUAUGCUAGGCACUGUAAGUUAUAACUCCCUGUUCAUUGAUUUCAACUCCACAGAAUAAGAUGUCUCCUCCGUGUCCCCUCACUUCACUUUCUUGCUUCCUUUUGUGUGUUGUCUCCUUCCAUUAGAUUGUAAACUCCUUGAAGGAUAGUGCCUGGCACACAGUAGACACUUAACAAAUGGUUAUUGGACUGGAUUGGAUACAAAGAAUCCUUGUCCUCAAGGAGCUUAUACUUAUGUUUUAAAAUCCUUACUUUUUGUCUUAGAAUUAAAUGAUACGUUUCAAUUCUAAGGCAGAAGAGUGGUAAGGGCUAGGCAAUUUCUAUAAAGUGAUCUGUCUAGGAUCACACAAUUAGAAAACACUCUAUUGUGUUCCUCCACAGAUCAGAUCCAAAUGAAAUGAUUUGAAGCACAUGAGUAUGAUGGAAUGAGGUCAAAGAAAUGACCGGUUUCCUGACUUUAGGCAGGGAUCACUUCAGUUGAAGUUCCUUAAGGACAUGGGGUUAUCUUUUUAUGCCUUGAUUCCCCAGUGGUCAGCACAACACUUGGCAUGCCAACACAUUUAAGAAGUGCUUCUUGGACUGACAUGAAUUCUAUUUUGCCAGGAGCCUCUCUACCAGUCAGCAUCUUCCUCAAGUCUGUUUAUUGAUAAGAGUUGACUAUUAUCAAUCAAUCAUUGAUUAUCUGUUACUGCCAGUGACUACCACCAAAUCUUUUCUUUUAUAAAAGUUUUAACUUUAUUAAUCAAAUUAGACUAAUAGCAAUUAAAAGUUCCCUGUUCUCCUACUAAAACUUAGUAUAGGAUUUAGGCACUCAUCUCUUAUUUUUGGUUUUUGUGAUUUUUGGUUUCAACCCUUACUUUCUGUCUUAGAAUCAAUACUAAGUCUAAGUUCCAAGGCAGAAGAGUGAUAAGAGCUAGGCAAUACAGUUAGGAAGUAUCUGAGGCCAGACCUGACUCUCCACUAAGCUGCCCCAAGACUAUCAUUUCUGAAAUAAAGGAUCACCAAGUUUCA